rnacentral:rRNA from 1 species
AUUGAACGCUGGCGGCAGGCCUAACACAUGUAAGUCGAGCGGAUGAAGGGAGCUUGCUCCUGGAUUCAGCGGCGGACGGGUGAGUAAUGCCUAGGAAUCUGCCCGGUAGUGGGGGAUAACGUCCGGAAACGGGCGCUAAUACCGCAUACGUCCUGAGGGAGAAAGUGGGGGAUCUUCGGACCUCACGCUAUCAGAUGAGCCUAGGUCGGAUUAGCUAGUUGGUGGGGUAAAGGCCUACCAAGGCGACGAUCCGUAACUGGUCUGGGAGGAUGAUCAGUCACACUGGAACUGAGACACGGUCCAGACUCCUACGGGAGGCAGCAGUGGGGAAUAUUGGACAAUGGGCGAAAGCCUGAUCCAGCCAUGCCGCGUGUGUGAAGAAGGUCUUCGGAUUGUAAAGCACUUUAAGUUGGGAGGAAGGGCAGUAAGUUAAUACCUUGCUGUUUUGACGUUACCAACAGAAUAAGCACCGGCUAACUUCGUG